UUUGGAUUUCAGCCAAAGAUUCGGAGAGAUAGCUUUUUACGCAAUCACAGCUGAUGAACAAGUAAAAGGUUAUGGCACCAGACUUAUGAAUCACUUAAAACAGCAUGCACUGGAUGUUGAGGACUUCACUAACUUUAAUACUCUAUCCUCUGUUUUUUGUAUUAUUUUUUUUUUUUGCUACAGAAAAAUUCCGAGCUAUUUGCACUGGUGAGUAGUUCGUCAUCUUCAUUUCAUUGUUUUGAGUUUAGUUGUUUUGGUGAAGUUUCUAUUGACGGUUGUCAUGUAGAAGUGGUAUGAUGAAUGGUUUAGUUUUGACAAGUAAAUUGGGGUUGUGUUUGUAUAUCAAGAGAAGUUUAACUGGUGGUCUUUAAGAAAAUGGAAUUUAAAUGUCAAGUGUUUCCGAUUCAAAGUUAAAAGUACGGGAAUAUGACUAAUGUUGGUCUUGCCUAUUAAGUGGGUGAAAUGAGAUUAGAAUAUCGAGUGUCCUUAGUAAUUAAGGUAUGCCUAAUAGCUUAUGAAUUAUUAAGUUCAAUGAGUUGCUUGGGAAAGGUUACUAAUCGAGUUGAGUUAAAUGUAAUUCAACAAUUAUUGGUUUUGUACAAGGCUAUGUGAUUUAGUUUCUGUUACGGUCCUGUUCAUGCAAGGCCAUUAGUGAACGCCCCUCACUUGAUUUACAGUGUUCAAUUGUUUGUAAGUUUCUCCUUUUUUCAGUGUAGUCAUAUACUGACAUUGUUGUUCACUUUGGCCUGAAUUAAUAAAUGCUUUGGUUGUUAAUUAAUAAAUAAAUUAGUAUGAAUUAUUGGCAUGGAAUUGUAAGAGUUUUAUGGUAUGAAUUGGACUGAAUUGCUUUGAGUUUAAGUUUAGUGCAUAAGCUUAUUACUACGGUGUUAGGACUAGAAGAUAAUAUGAAGUGAUAACAUUGUCUCCUAAGGCCAUUAGUGAUACCUUAAGUCCUCUGAUGCUAGACAAAUACGCUCAUUCUUAUAUUCCCACUUUAUGAUCAUGUAUAUUUUAGGAAGAUUUAAAGAACCCUUUUGCAUAGAGAAUUGGGAGGUUACACUUCAGAGUUAUGUUGGAUAGACUCCUCAAAACAAGAUGGCCCUCAGGCACAAGACAAGACAAGCAGCUGCAUUAGUUCUUUACAUUGGUUUCUUUUAGGUUCAUUGUACUGAUUUUGUGUCUAGUACAUUACAUUUGCACUGGUUCUUUGUAAUAUAAUUUGGAUACUCAUUUGAUGAGUAGAACUUAUGGAUGAUAUUUUAAAGAAAUCAAUAGUAUUUUGUCUUC